rnacentral:rRNA from 1 species
CAGUCGCCACGGUAAUACGUAGGUGGCAAGCGUUGUCCGGAAUUAUUGGGCGUAAAGGGCUCGCAGGCGGUUUCUUAAGUCUGAUGUGAAAGCCCCCGGCUCAACCGGGGAGGGUCGUUGGAAACUGGGAAACUUGAGUGCAGAAGAGGAGAGUGGAAUUCCACGUGUAGCGGUGAAAUGCGUAGAGAUGUGAGGAACACCAGUGGCGAAGGCGACUCUCUGGUCUGUAACUGACGCUGAGGAGCGAAAGCGUGGGGAGCGAACAGGAUUAGAUACCCCAGUAGUCCCUGUCUCUUAUACA